rnacentral:rRNA from 1 species
ACUGGCGGCGUGCUUAACACAUGCAAGUCGAACGAAGCAUCUCGCCCGAAGAAAUGGAGUGCUUGCACAAAGUGGAUUCAAUUGAGAUGACUGAGUGGCGGACGGGUGAGUAACGCGUGGGUAACCUGCCCUAUACAGGGGGAUAGCAGUUGGAAACGACUGAUAAUACCGCAUAAGCGCACAGUACCGCAUGGUACAGUGUGAAAAACUCCGGUGGUAUAGGAUGGACCCGCGUCUGAUUAGCUAGUUGGUGAGGUAACGGCUCACCAAGGCGACGAUCAGUAGCCGACCUGAGAGGGUGACCGGCCACAUUGGGACUGAGACACGGCCCAAACUCCUACGGGAGGCAGCAGUGGGGAAUAUUGCACAAUGGGCGAAAGCCUGAUGCAGCGAACCGCCGCGUGAGUGAUGAAGUAUUUCGGUAUGUAAAGCUCUAUCAGCAGGGAAGAUAAUGACGGUACCUGACUAAGAAGCACCGGCUAAAUACGUGCCAGCAGCCGC